AACGUUAAGAAGAAACUAGCCGUUUCUCACCUUACAGCACAGCUAGUAAGGUUAUGGAAUCAGUUUAUUAUUUUGAUUAGAGGACGGCAUUUGCCGUCUUUUUUUAUUUUA
rnacentral:sRNA from 1 species